rnacentral:rRNA from 1 species
GAUGAACGCUAGCGGCAGGCUUAACACAUGCAAGUCGAGGGGCAGCGCGGGGUAGCAAUACUCUGGCGGCGACCGGCGGAAGGGUGCGUAACGCGUGAGCAACAUGCCCGUGGCAGGGGGAUAAGCGAUGGAAACGUCGUCUAAGACCCCGUAACAACAGAGUUCGCAUGGACUUUGUUUGAAAGCUUCGGCGGCCACGGAUUGGCUCGCGUCCCAUUAGGCAGUUGGCGGGGUAACGGCCCACCAAACCGACGAUGGGUAGGGGUUCUGAGAGGAAGGUCCCCCACAAUGGAACUGAGACACGGUCCAUACUCC